CUAGUAUGCGCUCGAACUCGGUAAUGCGCACAUCAUGGGCGAGAGUGGGCGCGCAAGGCCGAACGAACAAACAGGUUGUGUACCACUGGGCGGUGGGUGGUGGUGGGCGGUAUUUGGAGGUGGAGGUAUUAGCCUGGAGGUGGGUGCGUUUUGUGGCAAAUAUCCGAAAGUUGUGAAUAACCCAAAAGUGCGUGCCCCUGAUUGGGCCAAGGUGGGAGUACCAUAUCAGUCAGAUCAACGAUUCCACACGGCGUAAACAAACACACACACACACCACAGAAACAGAGUGCCAAAGUUUACUGUCACGUGCUUGUCAACAACGUCUUGGCGUUUUAUAACGCAACGCCCUGACCCCGGACACGAUGAAGCUUUACAAGUGACCCCCGGUUCCUCCUGGACUUUGCACCCGGCCAAAGGCAACUACUACCGCCACUAACUGGGCUGAAUUGAACUCAAGUCCCACAGCGCUACCAUCAUACUUUUAGGACGAUGCCAGGACACGGCCUGACGGCAUUUCCUACAGGGCACGAAGGACAUACCCAUCGCCAUCCUUGUGCACAUCCACAUCCUCGCCUACAUCGAAUGAGAGCGCCCACAAGGGAUACAGUUGUUAACGUGGCCAAGGAGCAGCGACUAUGGCGGGGACAAAAACACAAACAUGGUUGCCGCAGGACGCUUGCAGUUGAAGGAGCAGAGCACUUUAUGUGCAUAUAAUGUCCGCUCUCACCCAAAGCACACACCCACACUCGCACACACACUCGCGCACACACACACACACGCGGAGAGGCAGGACCCUUUGAGCACGGUGUCGGCCAAGUUGCGGGGAAUUGUUAAUAUUGUCUGGGCCUGUAAGCAGCAUUUACAUGCUGGCCGACACCACGUACUACAUACGUCCUGCCUGAUGGACGGUCUCCGGGAUACGGAAUCCUUUCCGUACGGAUGAUGCUCCGGCUUUAAAUGUUGAAUUAACCGACUAUACCCGACAGUUUUCAUUAGAAAAUGGAGGAUGGACACAAGUGCCGGAGUGGCCGGAUGUGGAAAGCCCAAAUGCCGAUGCAUUCUCGAUUCGUGGCAUUAAGACAAAAGUAAACUUGAUUUUGGUAUGAAAUUGAUUCAUUCAUUUUCGAUCCAUUGAGUCAGAUUCUUAUCCGAUGGAUGAGCCGGUCAGCAUCACCACUUCCAACUGUGUGCACAUCCAACAGGUAGUCGAACCAGACAAACUGUCUCCACUUGCAAUGGAGUCUCGUUUCCAUCCUCUUCGCCCCUUUCAACUAAUAUUUGACUGGGAAUUCAGCGAGAGCCGGGAAUCCUUUGAUGGCAGGAUAUCGUCAUUCAGCUUCGGAAAAAUAAUUUAUUCGAUAAAUUUCGAUGUUUCCAUAGACCAUUAUGUCAGCUAGAGAACAUGAUAUCUCACCAAACAACUGUUGAAUGAUUCUUGAUGGACUGGAUGAAAGCAACUGGAUUUAAUUAUGUUAAUUUGUAAUUUUAAUAUGUUAUCAAAAAAAAAACAUCGAAGUAGGAUGGAGUUUUACUGAUGCGCUUUCCAAUCGAAUCGAAUUUGGUUGAUUUUUAUUAGCAUUCUUAUUGGAUUACUUUUUGUAAAAACACAUAUGAUUGCAUAAUAUAAUUGUAUUAAAUGUGUAUUUUUGUAAACCUUAUAUAGUUUAAACAUUUAAACGAACAAAUUGUUAAACAUGGCCAAUGAUUACAUGCUAAACCAAAAAUUUUUGCUGUAUUUGGACAAUUGUAUUUAUAGGUACUGAUUAGUUGAUAUUAAUAUUAAACAUAAACAAGAAACAUGAUGUUAUUCAUAAAUUCAAUCACAUCCAAAUGACCUAUCG
rnacentral:lncRNA from 1 species